CCAACAACUCGGCCAGAAGCAAACGGCAGCUCUGGGAAGCCCCACGAGUUUUCCGUCCACAAUGAUCAAUAGCGGGGAAAGAGACUUCUCCCAAUCCGACGGUGGAGAUCAACGAUCUCAGUUUCACCUACCCUAGCGUAGACGACCAUCCUCCGCCGGGCUCCGUCCCCCUCAUCGACGGCUUCUCCCUCACUCUGCACGUCGAUGAUCGCUGCCUCCUCGUCGGCUCCAAUGGCGCCAGUUCGUUCCCAUUUUAAAAAACGAAAUUCUCGCUAUUGAUCUGUUUUUUUCGGUUGUGGUUAGGGAAAACGAUGAUUCUCAAGAUUCUCCGAGGGAAGCACAUGGUGGAGCCUGACAUGGUUCGCGUGCUUGGGAGAUUGGCGUUCCACGACACCGUUUUGACGUCUUCCGCUGAUCUCUGUUAGUGGAGGCGAGAGGUUGCUUUUGCUGGCUUUGAGGUGCCAAUACAAAUGGAUGUUU